GACGACCAACGUCGUUGAAGUUCAGAGUGAGGUGAUGACUAUGUUUAUGGAUGAAGUCGUAUUUGCUGGGUUGGCAAUUGUUGGUUUAACGUGUCUAUUUUUUGUUGGCUUUUACAUGGCCAUCAAGAAAGAUAUUUCGAAGCAUGGUACCGGCGAGUAAUCGUCUGUAACUAAAGCUAAGAGCAGUAUCUUUAAAGAUCUUAUAUUUGGGCCAGUCGUUCUGACGUUGGCCCUUUUUCAUU
rnacentral:sRNA from 1 species